rnacentral:rRNA from 1 species
UGAACGCUGGCGGCGUGCCUCCUACAUGCAAGUCGCGCGAACAGACGAGGAGCUUGCUCCUCUGACGUUAGCGGCGGACGGGUGAGUAACACGUGGAUAACCUACCUAUAAGACUGGGAUAACUUCGGGAAACCGGAGCUAAUACCGGAUAAUAUAUUGAACCGCAUGGUUCAAUAGUGAAAGACGGUUUUGCUGUCACUUAUAGAUGGAUCCGCGCCGCAUUAGCUAGUUGGUAAGGUAACGGCUUACCAAGGCAACGAUGCGUAGCCGACCUGAGAGGGUGAUCGGCCACAUUGGAACUGAGACACGGUCCAGACUCCUACGGGAGGCAGCAGUAGGGAAUCUUCCGCAAUGGGCGAAAGCCUGACGGAGCAACGCCGCGUGAGUGAUGAAGGUCUUCGGAUCGUAAAACUCUGUUAUUAGGGAAGAACAAAUGUGUAAGUAACUAUGCACGUCUUGACGGUACCUAAUCAGAAAGCCACGGCUAACUACGUG